UACGGGGGGGGGCAAGCGUUGUUCGGAAUUACUGGGCGUAAAGGGCUCGUAGGCGGCCAACUAAGUCGGACGUGAAAUCCCCGGGCUCAACCUGGGAACUGCAUUUGUGACUGCAUCGCUGGAGUGCGGCAGAGGGGGGUGGAAUUCCCAGUGUAGCGGUGAAAUGCGUAGAUAUUGGGAGGAACACCGGUGGCGAAGGCGGCCCCCUGGACCGGUACUGACGCUGAGGCGCGAAAGCGUGGGUAGCAAACGGG
rnacentral:rRNA from 1 species